rnacentral:rRNA from 1 species
CCUACGGGCGGCAGCAGUCGAGAAUCAUUCACAAUGGGGGAAACCCUGAUGGUGCGACGCCGCGUGGGGGAAUGAAGGUCUUCGGAUUGUAAACCCCUGUCAUGUGGGAGCAAAUUAAAAAGAUAGUACCACAAGAGGAAGAGACGGCUAACUCUGUGCCAGCAGCCGCGGUAAUACAGAGGUCUCAAGCGUUGUUCGGAAUCACGGGGCGUAAAGCGUGCGUAGGCUGUUUCGUAAGUCGUGUGUGAAAGGCGCGGGCUCAACCCGCGGACGGCACAUGAUACUGCGAGACUAGAGUAAGGGAGGGGGAACCGGAAUUCUCGGUGUAGCAGUGAAAUGCGUAGAUAUCGAGAGGAACACUCGUGGCGAAGGCGGGUUCCUGGACAUUAACUGACGCUGAGGCACGAAGGCCAGGGGAGCGAAAGGGAUUAGAUACCCUUGUAGUC